UCUAGACUUGUGGAUGAUGCAAAGAAGAAAAGAUAAACAUUCGAACACUCCAAAAUCCCCCAAAGGAAAAAAAAACAAUUUCAAAUUUACUAUCCUCUUGCGCAAUAGACAAGAGGGUUGCUCCCCACUUCCAACUGAGAGGUUGUGAGUUCGAGUCUCCCAAGACCAUGAUAAGUUCUUGGAAGAAAGGACGUCGGAGUCUAUUUGGAAACAGAAUCUCUACCUGGGUUGUUGUUGUAUUCUCUUGCGCAAUAAUUGAUCUAGACUAG
rnacentral:lncRNA from 1 species